rnacentral:misc_RNA from 1 species
GAUGAUGAGGUCUGAAGGU